rnacentral:lncRNA from 1 species
AUAUGCUCCUAUGAUUGUCNNNNNNNNNNNNNNNNNNNNNNNNNNNNNNNNNNNNNNNNNNNNNNNNNNNNNNNNNNNNNNNNNNUCAUUAUUGUUUCAUCAUGGGCAUAAAACUGGACCUCCUGUAGUAUCAUAGUUUAGAUUGGAAAACCAAAUCCAUAAUUAAGCCUCGUGUUCUCCAGUAUUCUUUCUCCCACUCUACCCUAUCUGCCCUCACUUCUCCUGUCUCUUGCUUUUGCCUUCCAUCUCUCUCCACCUCUCUCCUCCCUUUCUCAAAUCCAGUCAUCUUUCUUCUUCACAUACAAUUGCUUCUCACGGCCCGAUAAACUCAGAAGCAAGGGGACAUUGAAGGUUUGUUUUAUCUCUGCAUUUUAUUGAAUCUAGCCUUAAGGGAGCCUGUAGUCAUUUUUUAUGACACAGCAUUACUUGUAAAAGGACUUUGCAGUCUCUAAGCAAAGGUCUUAUGUAAAUUAAUUACUAGGCUGUGCCUAGCUGCCCAGUGGGCACCCUGAUGGGUUCAUUUUGUUCCAUUAGUCUCCUCAGGGAAAUCAGAAUUAUGAGAUUCUCUUAAGCAAAGGAGUGCUCUUAUUUCAAUCUGGAGAAGCCAUGUUGGACAUUUUGGACUCUUUCUGCUGUGUUUUUAGAUCUGUAGGCUUAGAUGUACAAACUGCUCCUGAAAGUUUAGUGUGUUCAUUUCUCCCCAUAUCCACAGCCUCUGGCACGUGUACAGACUGAGCUCAUCUUGAAGCCGGAGACCCAAAGUCUUGACCCAUCUUGAGACAGUGGUGGUACCCACAGGUGCCACUGGACACACGAGGCUAUGCCAGUGCUGGCAGAGAGGGAUGAAAGAGUUCCUGGAGUGAGUUUGCACAUCUUUUCAAUGCUAGAAAAUGGAGACAGAAAAAUCAAAGCAGUAUUUCUUCCACUUACGAAGAUCAAUAACCAGCAGACACUUGGCUCUAGAGAAGAACUCUGCCAUCUCUGGGAGGUGUUGGAAGCCAAUCACCCUUCCGUGCCAGCACUUUGUGUGGAUUUGUGGUUCAGAUUCCCAAGCCUUUGAAUAGUAGACACUGCAUUCCCAUUGUACCGAAGGGGAAAGUAGAUUAACAGAGGUAGGCCUCCCAAGAUUUGGUAAAGAACAGAGUAGAGGCUUGAGCCCCAGUCUAGAAAACGCCAGGACCUUGGACAGCCACUCCCCUGCCCUGUGCAGGAUGCUCUUUUUAUGGGGAGUUUGAAUUAGAUCAUUUUUAUGCAGUUUUACUCCCAUUGGAUUUAUGCUCCUCUCUGUGGCCUAGCCUUCUCCCUUUCCUGUGCCUAGUUUGGAAAAAUAGAUUUCUUCUCUAAGGUAAUGAUGGUUCAUUUCUUUCCCCUAUAGGAUUUUGAGAUGCAGCAAGUUUCCUCUCAGGCAUCUCUGCCUCUCUGCACUUUACCCUUUUCUGCUAGUAUCUUUAUAGAAGCCACUGUGUUUGUAGCAAAUUAUAAAUAUUGAUCUGUUUUCUCUCUCACCUUUUAUAUAAACAUGGGAGUUGGGGCAUUGAGCUAUGUAACAAUAGUAAAAAAAAAAAAAAGGAAAGAAAAUGCAGUUGGGAAAACUUACUAUUUUCUUGGUUAUAUAUGAGGGAUUGACUCAGCAUAAUCACGUGAGAGCAAAAUAAUGGAAGACUAAUUGACUUCUAGGCGAACAACAACUGGACUUUUCCACAGUUACCUGAGAAAGGCUAGUUAUCCCCAAGUAGAACUAUUACUUUGAAAGUGGUGGAGAAUUUACAGUGGCACCCAAUCUCUGCAGCUGUCCAUCUAGGAAGCUGAGAAAUAAUCAAGGUGUGCUUGCCACUCUUCUCUCCAGAUGUUUGCACACCUUUCCAGGUCUGUUUGAUCUAAUUAUUGCCUGCAGGUGUCCACCCCUUGUCCCCGUAUAGUGACAUUAAGAAUCCCUUCUAUAGGUACAAUGAGCAGCACUUCUAGAAACCACUUCUGCCUUCUCAGUCUGGCCCUCUCAGUUUCUCCUCCUAUCCUGAAGCCUCAGCAUGCCUGCUGGAGGAGGUCAACUUAAUGGGAGACCAGAGCCAUCCCCAUGAAACCUGUACCACCAACAACCAAGUAUCACAGUCUUGGGUCAUAGAUGUCCUGGAAACCAAGGACAUGAUUAAUGUAGUUUCCAAUCAAAAUCAUCUAUGCAAUUC